UGGGGAAUAUUGCACAAUGGGGGAAACCCUGAUGCAGCGACGCCGCGUGGGCGACGAAGCGCUCCGGCGCGUAAAGCCCUGUCAGCAGGGAAAGAAAAAAGACAGUACCUGACCAAGAAGCCCCGGCUAACUACGUGCC
rnacentral:rRNA from 1 species